UACAGAGGUCUCAAGCGUUGUUCGGAUUUACUGGGCGUAAAGGGCGCGUAGGCGGCGUGACAAGUCACUUGUGAAAUCUCCGGGCUUAACCCGGAGCGGCCAAGUGAUACUGUCGUGCUAGAGUGCGGUAGGGGAGAUUGGAAUUCCUGGUGUAGCGGUGGAAUGCGCAGAUAUCAGGAGGAACACCAAUGGCGAAGGCAGAUCUCUGGGCCGUAACUGACGCUGAGGAGCGAAAGUGUGGGGAGCGAACAGG
rnacentral:rRNA from 1 species